AACUUACACAUGCAAGCAUCCACAUCCCAGUGAGAAUGCCCUCCAGGUCAAUAAGACUAAGAGGAGCUGGUAUCAAGCACACACUCGUAGCUCACGACACCUUGCUUAACCACACCCCCACGGGAUACAGCAGUGAUAAAAAUUAAGCCAUAAACGAAAGUUUGACUAAGUUAUGUUAAUUAGGGUUGGUAAAUUUCGUGCCAGCCACCGCGGCCAUACGAUUAACCCAAGCUAACAGGAAUACGGCGUAAAACGUGUUUAAGCGCCACACCAAAUAGAGUUAAAUUUUAAUUAAGCUGUAAAAAGCCGUAAUUACUGUAAAAAUAAAUAACGAAAGUGACUCUACAACAGCUGACACACCAUAGCUAAGACCCAAACUGGGAUUAGAUACCCCACUAUGCUUAGCCCUAAACACAGAUAAUUAUAUAAACAAAAUUAUUCGCCAGAGUACUACUAGCAAUAGCUUAAAACUCAAAGGACUUGGCGGUGCUUCAUAUCCCUCUAGAGGAGCCUGUUCUAUAAUCGAUAAACCCCGAUAAACCUCACCAAUUCUUGCUAAUACAGUCUAUAUACCGCCAUCUUCAGCAAACC
rnacentral:rRNA from 1 species